UCAAAAUGAUGAUGCCUGAGAAUGGUUUCGCUUUGUGGGCUGAUUUCCGUUGAUGACACAAUUCUCUUGGCUAUCUGAUUAG